rnacentral:rRNA from 3 species
UGAGGAAUAUUGGUCAAUGGGCGAGAGCCUGAACCAGCCAAGUAGCGUGCAGGAUGACGGCCCUAUGGGUUGUAAACUGCUUUUAUGUGGGGAUAAAGUGCGUGACGUGUCAUGCAUUGCAGGUACCACAUGAAUAAGGACCGGCUAAUUCCGUGCCAGCAGCCGCGGUAAUACGGAAGGUCCGGGCGUUAUCCGGAUUUAUUGGGUUUAAAGGGAGCGUAGGCUGUCUAUUAAGCGUGUUGUGAAAUAUACCGGCUCAACCGGUGGCUUGCAGCGCGAACUGGUCGACUUGAGUAUGCAGGAAGUAGGCGGAAUUCAUGGUGUAGCGGUGAAAUGCUUAGAUAUCAUGACGAACUCCGAUUGCGCAGGCAGCUUACUGUAGCAUAACUGACGCUGAUGCUCGAAAGUGCGGGUAUCAAACAGG